rnacentral:tRNA from 1 species
UGUCCUGUAGUGUAAUCGGUUAACACGUCUGACUCUGGAUCAGAAGAUUCCAGGUUCGAGUCCUGGCAGGACAA